ensembl:snRNA U6 U6 spliceosomal RNA
GUGCUCACUUCAGCAGCUCAUACACUACAACUGGAACGAUACAGAGACGAUUACCAUGGCCUCUAUGCAAGGAUGACACACAAAUCAUCAAGCGUUCCAUAUUACA